AUUGAACGCUGGCGGCAGGCCUAACACAUGCAAGUCGAACGAGUGGCGGACGGGUGAGUAAUGUCUGGGAAACUGCCCGAUGGAGGGGGGUAACUACUGGAAACGGUAGCUAAUACCGCAUACCAUCGGAUGUGCCCAGAGGGGAUUAGCUAGUAGGGGGGGUAACGGCUCACCUAGGCGACGAUCCCUAGCUGGUCUGAGAGGAUGACCAGCCACACGGGAACGGAGCACCGGUCCAGACUCCUACGGGUGGCAGCCGUGGGAAAUAUUGCACAAUGGGGGCAAGCCUGAUGCAGCCAUGCCGCGUGUAUGAAGAAGGCCUUCGGGAUGUAAAGUACUUUCAGCGAGGAGGCGUUACUCGCAGAAGAAGCACCGGCUAACUCCGUGCCAGCGGCCGCGGUAAUAC
rnacentral:rRNA from 1 species